UCCACGCCGUAAACGAUGUCUACUAGCCGUUGGGAUCCUUGAGGUCUUAGUGGCGCAGCUAACGCAAUAAGUAGACCGCCUGGGGAGUACGGCCGCAAGGUUAAAACUCAAAUGAAUUGACGGGGGCCCGCACAAGCGGUGGAGCAUGUGGUUCAAUUCGAAGCAACGCGAAGAACCUUACCAGGUCUUGACAUCCUAGAAACUUAGCAGAAAUGCUUUGGUGCCUUCGGGAAUCUAGUGACAGGUGCUGCAUGGCUGUCGUCAGCUCGUGUCGUGAGAUGUUGGGUUAAGUCCCGUAAGAGCGCUAACCCUUGUCCUUAG
rnacentral:rRNA from 1 species